GACGAACGCUGGCGGCGUGCCUAACACAUGCAAGUGGAGCGACGAACCAGGCUUCGGCCUGGGGCAGAGCCGCGAACGGGUGAGUAACACGUGGGUAACCUGCCCUGAUGAUUGGGACAACCCGAGGAAACUCGGGCUAAUACCAAAUGUGCCCUCCGACCAUAAGGUCGCUGGGGAAAGGAAGCUUCGGCCUCCGCAUCGGGAUGGGCCCGCGGCCCAUUAGCUUGUUGGUGAGGUAAGGCUCACCAAGGCAACGAUGGGUAGCUGGUCUGAGAGGACGAUCAGCCACACUGGGACUGAGACACGGCCCAGACUCCUACGGGAGGCAGCAGUGGGGAAUCUUGCGCAAUGCGCGAAAGCGUGACGCAGCAACGCCGCGUGGGGGAAGAAGGCCUGG
rnacentral:rRNA from 1 species